ACUGACUUAGAAGGGCUGGGGCAUCUAUGCCAGGCUAACCUUUAUAACUUUAAAACCAUAAACCUUAUAAAGCCAUAACCUUAAAAACACAUAUGUGUUGUUUUCUUGUGCAUGCAAUCUUUUUAAAAAUUAAACUAACAUAUUUAUGUAUUACUGGAAUAGCUCCUUAUAUUAUUUGGCCUUUUUUUCCUCUGCACAGCUAGACUGUAUACUCAAAAGACAUCAGAACUGUGUUUAUUAUCUUUAUCUAAUAAAAUCUAUCAAAUUGGGGGGGAGGGAGGAUUAGAGAGAUGGCUGAACAGUUACGAACACUGGUUGCUCUUCCAGAAGUCCCGAGAUCAAUUCCAAGCACCCACAUGGUGACUCAUGACUAUAAUAUAGCACUACCUUAAUAUAAUUUAUAAAUGACUGAGACUUUUCAUUAUAUUAAUACAUUUCAUUAUAUGAGUUCUCAACCCUUGAAACAGGUCUCCAGGAACCAUCUAAGGAUCUUUGAUUGUCCGAUUUUUACAUCAUCACUGAAAGAAAAGAAAGCCUUGUGGUUAUCAUAGGAACUGUCUCAUAUACCACAAAAAUCUACCAGCAAUAUAGUUCCUCCUGGUGGCUAAGGCUGUUUGUGUCCCUGGUUUGGGGCCAGUGAGACUUGACAAGGAACACUGAUGGGAAACAGUUGGCGGGAGGAUUCUUCACUUCUGAGCCGUAGCCCAAAUGGAGGUUUCAGGCUCCUGACGUCUCGUGUUCUUCCUCUCAGGAAGACUGUCCCAAGGACUUUCUUCUAGUAGCUGUCUGGAGAGGAUGACUUGACGCAUGUGCACCCCUGCAGACGGAUGCUUGGGGACAAUACUUCCGGUGUGGGGAUGGGGAGGUCAUUGGAAGGGAAAGGAAGGGAAAAAAAGACAGUGGAGGAUAGCAUAACCAGAAUUUAUGUAUAUAUCAUUUGCACAAUAACAAAAUAAAUCAAUUACAAAACAGAAAAAUCUGCAUUCAUUUUUUUCCAUGGCUGAAUAUUCACCUGCAGACAGGUUUCUCACCCUCUCACUCACCUGUCGAUAGACACUCUUUGUUUACAGCGUGGUUAGCCAGAAGAGGGCUGCUUGCAUACUUUUCUCUCGAGAUACCUGUUCAAAUCACUUCCAGUUCUCUCUUGGGUACAAAAAUGAAAUUUCUGGGUCAUGUGGUAGUUUCAUCUCCAACUUGUAGAAAUCACCAAACUGCUUCCUGCAGUGGCUUUGGCAUUUGCCAUGCUCAUGAAGGUCAUGUGUCCCCUACAUUCUCACCAACUCUUAUUUUCCACUUUGUUCUGUUUCCUAACUUUCCUAGCAAAUGAAGAGUGGUGUCUCACCCUGGC
rnacentral:lncRNA from 1 species